rnacentral:lncRNA from 1 species
GUUGUCUCUAUUCCCAGGAAGCCUUCUGCAGCUAACUAAAUCUAGGUUUCAUCCAGGGUGUCCAAGUGGCCCAGUUCUACUUCACACGCAGGUGUAAGGAGGCUCAUCACAUAAUUAAUCAUCUGAACUAGAACACUUUCGAAAGCGAAGCAUGAGCUGUUAAUAAUUACUCCGGGACAGCACUCAUUGCCUCUGGCAAACCGAGAUGUGUUAUUAUCCGAGGUGUAGCACAGAUUUGAAGUGGACCACGAACAUACCAAUCAUCAUGUGAAUAUCACUCAUAAUCUCUCAGGAAGCUAAUAGGCAUGGUGAGCAAAACAUCAGGGCCCCUAUUUCCAUGAAGAUAAGAUGCGUAAAUUCACAAGGUGAUCAAUGGGGGAGACUGGCAAAAGCAGAAGUCCUUGGUCCUAGCAAUCAAAUUUUCAUUGCUGGGAUCCCGUAGGGCACUCUGACCUGGUGCACUAUUGCAUGGCAUUGCUACAGGCUUUGAUUGCAACCCAUCUCCCUUCCCACCACCGGAACUAAAGAUGAAGUGCCAGCGCUGGCCUUUUAGGUACCCUCAACCCUAGGAGGAUUGUGCCGGGUUGUGCAAAUACUGACUAUGCCACCUGUGCCUUCAUUUUAAGAAGGAAUUUGAAGCUGGAGGCAGCAAAAAUACAAAGAGAUGGAAAAACGGAGAAAGGGCAGAAGAAGAGCAAAGGAGAGUACCAAAUUAAGACACUCAAAAUGUGAGUAUCGGAGCUCCAGAACGAAAAAAGAACAGAUAAAGCAGAUAACUCUGAGAGCCUGGUUGAGAUCCAGGAAUUAAAACUCACAGAAGUGCUGGGGCUCUGUUAUGACCGGGGUCCCUUGGAGUUUAACUUUCAGAGUUGGCUACACUGAGCCUCCAGCGAUUCAUCAAUUGCAGUUCAGGUUUUCCUACACAGCACUGGUUCCUAUGGUGGUUGCUGCUCCAAUAAGUUGUGAUUCUCUAUACUCACCUCUUGGUCUCUCCAAUGAUGGGGGCAGCAGUUUGCCCUGAGACUUCAUUUCUCUUACGGAUUGUGCAAUUAAUAGAAGAGACCUCAACUAAGUUGGAGUCUGGAAUGCCUGUAGGAGAGCUCUCAUGGCCUGUUGUACACUGUCAGUUGCUCCAAACAGGAUGGGGUUUGCACGUUCCUCUGUUUCUCUGCACUUGCUUAUAGUUCAAGUAGACUGCCUAACUCGAAAGGCAAUUCUUUUGUUUGUUCCUGAAUAAACUCAUUUUGUGGGUAAAGCAAGUGGUCAAUUUACAUUUUAAGUUGACAUAUUUGGUGUCAGAAGUGGAAUCCGAAGGAGGAGACCCCCCCCAGGAGAGUGACCCCCAGAAUCAAGCAAAGUACCCAUACCAAACCCCUUGCAGUCUGCUUCCAUGAGUUGCUGCCUACUUUCAGUUCCUUGACUCUCUUCUUGGAUUCUGAGCUGUACUCGCUUUGCAUUUUGAGCUCUCUGAUGUCAUUUGGGAUUGGGAGAGGCUUUAUCCUUUCUGGUUCAAGGUUUUAUCCUUGGGUUUGAGGCUUCAUCCCUGGGUAGUACUCAGUUCUUUUCUGAAGUGUGUAGUAGCAAGGCUCCUUUUGGGGAUUGGGCUAGCUGGAAUCCAGGUGCUUUCCUUUGUUUUUAGAUUCCUUCCAGAGUCAUGGCUAGGACUCCAGCAACUGUCUUGGGUUUUCAGAAGAAUUUAAGAAAUGGGAUCCCAGGCAUCUAAAUGCCCUGAGGGUAGCCCUCCUGGCCGGGUUUAUGUUUAAGAAUUAUGGCCCCUAUUUGUGGAUUUUUAACGAAGUGGGUGAAACAGAUCAAGAUUAGUUUGCAAUUACAAUGGCCAUCACGGGGAACUUUUGAUCUGCCCAAAUUCAUUUUUCUUAAAACCAAAUUCAAGUCUCUAAAAUUAAACAAAAUAAAUGGUAUGUGUAUUUUAAUUGGUAUCUGGAGGCUUCCAAAUGUGCACAAAACUCUAAAAUUUCCUCACUACAAGGCACCAUAUCUGAAUUAGCCCAAUUAACUAAGAAACUGAAGGAGAACAACAUUGCUUUGGAAGUCUUGUGUUCCUUGAGCCCCCCUCGCCCCAAUUUUUGUCUCAGAUGCCACCUUGUUUGUCUUUCUCAAUGUAUUUGCUUCAGGCUCACCCCUUAUGCCAUCUUCCUCCUUCUCUUUUGCAGCUCCACUCCUAUUCAUUUGCUAGGCUGAGAGUUCCUAGAAAAAUUAUAACCUGCUGUUUCUUUCUCCAAAAAUGAGGAAAUGAUUCUAGAAUUUGAUGGUGUGCAAAUAAAAAUCUUCAGUAAAUACAAAAAAAAUCCCCACAAAGCUCUUU